UGAAAUGCUUAUGUUAUCUGGUUCCC
rnacentral:piRNA from 1 species